rnacentral:rRNA from 1 species
GAAAAUAAGAGCGUAUGGUGGAUGCCUAGGGUUUCGAAGACGAUGAAGGACGUGGCGUGACUGCGAUAAGCAUCGGGGAGGUGUCGAGCAACCUUUGAUCCGGUGAUUUCCGAAUGGGGUAACCUAAUUCGAGUAAUGUCGAAUUGCUUUCCGAGUAACUUCGGACUGCGUGCACCUGGGGAAGUGAAACAUCUCAGUACCCAGAGGAAAAGAAAACAAUCCCGCGGAAUGCGGGACAUUCCCUAAGUAGCGGCGAGCGAAAGGGGAAAAGCCCAAACCUCGCUUCACUAUUCAGGAAUUUAUUUUUGAUUAGUGGGCGGGGGGUAGUAAGAAAAAGACUUUCCGGAGCGUAUAGCUAUGUUCCUGGAAGGGAGUUUAGAAAUAUAGAAGUUGUUUAGGGGAACGGCCCUGGAAAGGCCGGCCAAAGAGGGUAAUAGCCCCGUACUUAAAAAACCUUUUAUGCUCCUUGUCUUUUUUCUUGAGUACUUCGAGAACAAGAUAAGCUCGGAGGAAACAGGGAGAACUACUCUCCUAAGGCUAAAUACUUCGAAACACCGAUAGUGAACUAGUACCGUGAGGGAAAGGUGAAAAGCAGCCCGGUGAGGGCGGUGAAAUAGUACCUGAAACCAUAUGCUUACAAGGACUCGGAGCCCGUUCACGCGCAAGCGUGUUCAGGGUGACGGGGUGCCUAUUGAAGAAUGAGCCAACGAGUUAUAGUACGCUGCUAGUCUAAUUCCGUUAUAGCGGGAGGAGGCGUAGGGAAACCGAGUCUUAAUAGGGCGUUUGCAGUUUGCUAUAGACCCGAAGCCAGGUGAGCUACCCCUGGCCAGGAUGAAUCCCGCCGAAAGGCGGGAGGAGGUCCGCACCGGUUAGUCGUACAACGCUAUCGGAUGAGUUGGGGGUAGGAGUGAAAAGCUAAUCGAACCUGGGAAUAGCUGGUUCUCUCCGAAAUAGCUUUUGGGCUAGCGUCCGCUACAACUACGCAGGUAGAGCUACUGGAAGGUUCGUAAAGGGAGAAAUCUCGACGUACCUACCAAACUCCGAAUGGCGUAGCUUUGGGCGGCCAGUCAGACUACGGGGGCUAAGCUCCGUCGGUCGAGAGGGCAACAGCCCAGAUCUCAAUCUAAGGCCCCAAAAUCUCUCUUAAGUGUAAGUGAGGCGGUGAGGUUUCAAUGACAGCGAGGAGGUUGGCUUAGAAGCAGCCAUCCUUCAAAGAGUGCGUAACAGCUCACUCGUCAAGAGACCUUGCGCCGCAGAUAAUCGGGACUAAAGAGAGUGCCGAAGGUGAGGCUCCGCUAACAUUUGAAAUAUUAAUGUAAAGCGGGGGGUAGGAGAGCGUUCCUAGUGCAGUGAAGUCCACGGCGUGAGCCGGGAUGGAGCGCUGGGAAGUGAGAAUGUUGGCACAAGUAACCACAAUGCCGGUGAAAAACCGGCACGCCGCAAACCUAAGGUUUCCUUGGCAAUGAUUGUCAGCCAAGGGUUAGUCGGUCCUAAGCCAAUGGCGAAAGCCGCAGGUAAUGGACACACGGUUAAUAUUCCGUGACUUCCUUCUUUUUCGAUGAAGGGACGAAGGUUAGUAUGUUCUGCGUGUUAUUGGAUUCGCGUUUGUGCGAUGAGGAGUGUCCCGUAGAAAAUCUCGGGACGGCCUUUUGGCAACUCUUAGUCGAGCAAAAAUUUUCCGCCUCGGCGGAGGAAAUGGAACAAAGCAGCCUUCCUAGAAAAGCUUCUAAGAUUAUGAAGAGGGAAACCGUACCGAAAACCGACACAGGUGGGUGAGGCGAGUAGCCUCAGGCGAACGAGUGAGAGAUCCUCAAGGAACUCGGCAAAAAAGCGGCCGUAACUUCGGAAUAAGGCCUCCCCGCCAACGUAUAGAAAUAUAUGGCAGGCGGGGCGCAGCGAAAGUACCCCUGGCGACUGUUUAUCAAAAACACAGCUCCCUGCGAACUCGUAAGAGGAUGUAUAGGGGGUGACGCCUGACCAAUGCGAGAAGGUUAACGAUGGCGGUCCUUCGAUUCGAUACUGCGUAUCUCACUCAGGAUAAAUCCUGGAUUUCUAGGGUUUACCCCGAGCGAGGUGCAUAGCACCGAGUCGAGGGGCUGACUGUCCGAAGCCCUCGUCAAUGUCGGCCGUAACUAUAACGGUCCUAAGGUAGCGCAAUUCCUUGUCGGGUGAGGAAGUUGCCCGAUGCGGCAGCGAUGCCGCAAUGAAACACCGGCUUAUAACGGUGAAGUUCUCGCUGGAGUUUGAGUAACAAGGCUCAAGCAAUGAAGGCAGGAUAAUACCGUGGGAAGUCGUCCCGACCAUAGCGUCGAGAUUGACCCCGUAACGACUUAGGUCGCCGUUAAUCAAUGGCGACCUAGAUAGAUUUGUAGUAUAAUGAAUCUAUAACAUGCCGGCUCUCAACAAAAAGAGAAAUUAUCGCGAGUAUAUAUCUGGAUAUGUAGAUGGUGAAGGAAGUUUUUGUGUAUCUUUCUCAAGACGAAAGAAAUUCUUGGUAGGAUGGGAAACCAAACCAAGUUUAUCUAUAAGUCAGAAUGAAGAAAGGGCCAACGUCCUUUAUCUCAUACAGAAAACUCUUGGGUGCGGAUUUAUGCGACGAGAUCUUUCGGAUAAGACUCUUAAAUAUGAAGUAAGAAGUCUUAACGAUUUGAUCGACCGCGUAAUACCACAUUUCGAGAAGUAUCCGCUCUUGUCUCCAAAGAUAAAAGAUUUUUAUCGAUUCAGACAAGUUUGCCGCCUUAUGAAGAAAGGGAAACAUCGAAGAGUGUCAGGAUUAAAAAAGAUAGUCAUGAUUGCUUGCAAAAUGAAUCCAAGCGGCAAAAGAAAAUAUAGUCAAAAAGAUAUUCUCAAGACGUUGAGAUGAAGAUAUAGUCUGUGCCAUUAGAAAUAGUGGAUUAACAUGGAGUUCCGACGCGCACGAAAGGCGUAACGACUGGGGGACUGUCUCGAGGAUUCGCUCGGUGAAAAUACAAUACCGGUGAAGAUGCCGGUUAGGUGCAGUUAGACGAAAAGACCCCGGAAGCUUUACUGCAACUUGAUAUUGGGUAUGAAUUUUUUAUGCGUAGCAUAGUGGGGAGACUUUGAAGUCCUGCUCUCGGGCGGGACGGAGUCACCAGUGAAAUACCCAUCUUAAAGGACUUAUAUUCUAACCUCGACGGAGAAAACGUUUGGGGACAGUGUCUGGUGGGCAGUUUGUGUGGGGCGCAACCCUCCUAAAAGGUAACGGAGGGGUUUAUCAAGGUCGGCUUAGCGCGGAUGGAAAUCGCGCUGGACCUGUAAGAGGACAAGCCGGCUUAACUGCGAGGCGGUCAGGCCGAGCAGAUGCGAAAGCAGAAUCUAGUGAACCGACCAUUCGGUGUAGGACCGGUGGAAGAUUAACGGAUAAAAGCUACUCCGGGGAUAACAGGCUAGUUCCGCCCAAGAGUCCAUAUCGACGGCGGAGUUCGGCACCUCGAUGUCGGCUCAUCUUAUCCUGGGGGUGGAGAAGCUCCCAAGGGUUUGGCUGUUCGCCAAUUAAAAAGGUACGUGAGCUGGGUUCAGACCGUCGUGAGACAGGUUGGUCUCCUAUCUACUGCACUCGUUGAUUCUUGAGGGGGGUUCUUCCUAGUACGAGAGGACCGGAAGGAGGCGACCUCUGGUCUACCUGCUGUUCCGCCAGGAGCACCGCAGGGUAGCUAUGUCGUUGAGUGAUAAGCGCUGAAAGCAUCUAAGCGCGAAGCACGCCCCAAGAUUAGGAAUCGUUAUCAGAUCCGUGGAAGACUACCACGUUGAUAGGCUCCAGGUGUAAGAUCCGCAAGGAUUUCAGCCGAGGAGUACUAAUAGAUCGAGCCGUCUUG